rnacentral:rRNA from 1 species
AUUGAACGCUGGCGGCAGGCUUAACACAUGCAAGUCGAGCGGAGAUGAGGUGCUUGCACCUUAUCUUAGCGGCGGACGGGUGAGUAAUGCUUAGGAAUCUGCCUAUUAGUGGGGGACAACAUUCCGAAAGGAAUGCUAAUACCGCAUACGCCCUACGGGGGAAAGCAGGGGAUCUUCGGACCUUGCGCUAAUAGAUGAGCCUAAGUCGGAUUAGCUAGGUGGUGGGGUAAAGGCCUACUAAGGCGACGAUCUGUAGCGGGUCUGAGAGGAUGAUCCGCCACACUGGGACUGAGACACGGCCCAGACUCCUACGGGAGGCAGCAGUGGGGAAUAUUGGACAAUGGGCGGAAGCCUGAUCCAGCCAUGCCGCGUGUGUGAAGAAGGCCUUUUGGUUGUAAAGCACUUUAAGCGAAGAGGAGGCUACCUGGAUUAAUACUCUAGGAUAGUGGACGUUACUCGCAGAAUAAGCACCGGCUAACUCUGUGCCAGCAGCCGCAGUAACAC